rnacentral:rRNA from 1 species
CGAGCGACAGACGAGGAGCUUGCUCCUCUGACGUUAGCGGCGGACGGGUGAGUAACACGUGGGUAACCUACCUAUAAGACUGGGAUAACUCCGGGAACGGGGCUAAUACCGGAUAACACAUGAAACCGCAUGGUUUUGAUGAAAGACGGUUUUGCUGUCACUUAUAGAUGGACCCGCGGCGUAUUAGCUAGUUGGUAAGGUAACGGCUUACCAAGGCRACGAUACGUAGCCGACCUGAGAGGGUGAUCGGCCACUGGAACUGAGACACGGUCGACUCCUACGGGAGGCAGCAGUAGGGAAUCUUCCGCAAUGGGCGAAAGCCUGACGGAGCAACGCCGCGUGAGUGAUGAAGGUCUUCGGAUCGUAAAACUCUGUUAUUAGGGAAGAACAAGGGUAAGUAACUGUGCACCCUUGACGGUACCUAAUCAGAAAGCCACGGCUAACUACGUGCCAGCAGCCGCGGUAAUACGUAGGUGGCAAGCGUUAUCCGGAAUUAUUGGGCGUAAAGCGCGCGUAGGCGGUUUUUUAAGUCUGAUGUGAAAGCCCGGCUCAACCGUGGAGGGUCAUUGGAAACUGGAAAACUUGAGUGCAGAAGAGGAAAGUGGAAUUCCAUGUAGCGGUGAAAUGCGCAGAGAUAUGGAGGAACACCAGUGGCGAAGGCGACUUUCUGGUCUGCAACUGACCUGAUGC